rfam:Ovis aries breed Texel chromosome 13, whole genome shotgun sequence.
UCCCUGGUGGCUCAGAGGUUAAAGCGUCUGCCUGCAAUGCGGGAGACCCAGGUUCAAUCCCUGGGUUAGGAA